rnacentral:rRNA from 1 species
CCUAAACGAUGUCAACUAGCUGUUGGGGCUUCGGGCCUUAGUAGCGCAGCUAACGCGUGAAGUUGACCGCUGGGGAGUACGGUCGCAAGAUUAAAACUCAAAGGAAUUGACGGGGACCCGCACAAGCGGUGGAUGAUGUGGAUUAAUUCGAUGCAACGCGAAAAACCUUACCUACCCUUGACAUGUCUGGAAUCCUGAAGAGAUUCGGGAGUGUCGCAAGAAACCGGAACACAGGUGCUGCAUGGCUGUCGUCAGCUCGUGUCGUGAGAUGUUGGGUUAAGUCCCGCAACGAGCGCAACCCUUGUCAUUAGUUGCUACGAAAGGGCACUCUAAUGAGACUGCCGGUGACAAACCGGAGGAAGGUGGGGAUGACGUCAAGUCCUCAUGGCCCUUAUGGGUAGGGCUUCACACGUCAUACAAUGGUCGGGACAGAGGGUUGCGAAGCCGCGAGGUGGAGCCAAUCCCAGAAACCCGAUCGUAGUCCGGAUUGCAGUCUGCAACUCGACUGCAUGAAGUCGGAAUCGCUAGUAAUCGCGGAUCAGAAUGUCGCGGUGAAUACGUUCCCGGGUCUUGUACACACCGCCCGUCACACCAUGGGAGUGGGUUUCACCAGAAGUAGGUAGCCUAACCGCAAGGGGGGCGCUUACCACGGUGGGAUUCAUGACUGGGGUGAAGUCGUAACAAGGUAACCA